GGAGAGGUGGCCGAGCGGCUGAAGGCACUCGCCUGCUAAGCGAGUAGGGGGCUAAUAGCUCUCUCGAGGGUUCGAAUCCCUCCCUCUCCG
rnacentral:tRNA from 1 species